UGCAGUCGACGAUGACCACUUCGGUGGGGAUUAGUGGCGAACGGGUGAGUAACACGUGGGCAAUCUGCCCUUCACUCUGGGACAAGCCCUGGAAACGGGGUCUAAUACCGGAUACCACUACCGCAGGCAUCUGUGGUGGUUGAAAGCUCCGGCGGUGAAGGAUGAGCCCGCGGCCUAUCAGCUUGUUGGUGAGGUAAUGGCUCACCAAGGCGACGACGGGUAGCCGGCCUGAGAGGGCGACCGGCCACACUGGGACUGAGACACGGCCCAGACUCCUACGGGAGGCAGCAGUGGGGAAUAUUGCACAAUGGGCGAAAGCCUGAUGCAGCGACGCCGCGUGAGGGAUGACGGCCUUCGGGUUGUAAACCUCUUUCAGCAGGGAAGAAGCGAAAGUGACGGUAYYUGCAGAAGAAGCGCCGGCUAACUACGUGCCAGCAGCCGCGGUAAUACGUAGGGCGCAAGCGUUGUCCGGAAUUAUUGGGCGUAAAGAGCUCGUAGGCGGCUUGUCACG
rnacentral:rRNA from 1 species